rnacentral:lncRNA from 1 species
GUGCUGAGUACGAUUGACGUCCUGAAUUCCACCCGAACAAGACAAUAGUAUACUUCUCAGUUUCUAAAUUAAAUUCAUUUAUAUAGUAUACUUCUCAGCUUCAAGGCAGAGGAUAUUUAUAUCUUCAUCCUUCUCAUGUUUUCUCUAAAGUAUGUUUUUCUAUUGUGUAAUGAUGUAUGUUGUCAUGUGCAACUAAACCUCUUUGGUUAGGGUUCUAAGAUUAACCCGGCCUUCUUAUUUGUUGGACUCUAUUAACAACAUUUCUUAUUCAGUUUAUGAUCUAAAGUCCAAUUUAGUUUGUAUAUGUCUGUUUCUAGAUGUCACUUUGAAAAGCAUUUGCAUUUGUGGGCUUUCAUGUAAUUUUGCUCAAAAUAGUGCAUUCUCUAUUCUCAAUAGAGCAGAAACAUUUUUUGUGUGGGACAACAGUACCUUUCCUCCCUUUUUUUUAAGUUGGUUCCAAAGUAGGGA